rnacentral:misc_RNA from 1 species
UUUGUUUCGGUUCAAUCCAAGGUGCUCGAAAAGCGAGACCUCAUUCGACGCAGUCGAUGCAUGGAGGAUCGAAGAAUCAUGCUUCUUUCGCUCACGGAUAAAGCGACCAGACGUCUAACGCCUCUCAUUCCGACUCGCGCGCGACUUCAAGGAUCCAUUCGCGGUGACCUCGAUGGUUCCGCCCUCCUGCAGCUAUCAAACAUG